AAAUAAAAAACAAAUAUGAUACAACUUAUUAUUUUUGUUUUCAUUUUGCAUGAUUUUUUGUGUUUCAUUUUGUUUUUAUCCUUAUUAAAAACAAUUAUUUUUUUAUUAAACAUUUUUCUAGAAUAUCAAGAUUCUUGAAAAUUUUUGAAAGGGAAUCUCAAGAAAUAAAUUAAUUAGUAAUUCGGGAAUUCCUGAAUCUUGAGAAAGCAAAAAGUUUGGGAAAACACCAUCACUAGGCAUAAUGUAUCACAGCCCUUUUAAAAUAUGCGUAGGGAUCUGCUCUUUUAUAUCUUACACAGCCAUCUGACCAAUACAGGAUGAUUGAUUGACUAUUAGAUGGUUUCCUAUACACUUUGGUCCUAAAGAUAUUUUCUUCUAUCUGCAUAAGUAUAUCAAAAAAGUGCACAUUUUUUGUGUCUUUUUGUUAGUUUUUAAGUGAUGGGCCUUAGGUUUCAUUAGUGAAAGCUUUCUCUAAAUCUUGCAUUUUAUCAGUUUUGUUUGUAGAUGACAAAGAUAUCAUCUACAUACUAGUGUAGAAGGUGUUAUAUUGUGCAGUGAAAUCGGAUGGUGCAGUCUUUUCUAUGCUUCUGAUUGGGAUUUCUGCCAAUGUACCUGCCAUAGGACUACCUAUUAGGACAUCACAUAUUUGUUGAUAGAACUUUGGCUAGACUAACUGUAGAAAAAAAGCAGUCACCUCUUUAUGGCAUUGAGAAAGAGUUAGCAAAAUGGUAUUAGAAAAUUACAUGAAUGUUCUAAUUCAAUAAUAAUAAUACAGAAGUAUUUCUUAAUAAGCUUUAAGUAGUACUGAAGCAAAAUGAUAUAAUGGCCACUUUAGACUUUCUGAAACUUUUUCCAUCUUUAAAAUUAUUACCUAAUUGUUUGAUGUUUUAUAGAUUCUUACUAUAUCAUAUUCCAGAAAAUAAUGAAGUGGCCAAUACACUCAGAGAUCUAGGCCAUAUGAUUUGCUAUCAGUCAUAUUUUACUUACAAGGGAAAAUUCUACCAACAAAAACAUGAUGUUCAAUAGAUAGUCCUGUGCCAGGUGUGUUGGCGGAUGUCCUUGUCGGAGGUGUAGAGGGGACUGUGCUGUCUGGUUUCGCUGCAUAGUGUAGGUUCCACACUAGGUGUAUA
rnacentral:lncRNA from 1 species